rnacentral:piRNA from 1 species
UCCACUCUCAGUUGGGAUUAACAGCUCCUA